rnacentral:rRNA from 1 species
GACGAACGCUGGCGGCGUGCUUAACACAUGCAAGUCGAACGGAAAGGCCCUGGCUUUGUUGGGUACUCGAGUGGCGAACGGGUGAGUAACACGUGAGUAACCUGCCCUUGACUUUGGGAUAACUUUGGGAAACUGGGGCUAAUACCGGAUAGGAGCUCCUGCUGCAUGGUGUGGGUUGGAGAGUUUCGGCGGUUGGGGAUGGACUCGCGGCUUAUCAGCUUGUUGGUGGGGUAGUGGCCUACCAAGGCUUUGACGGGUAGCCGGCCUGAGAGGGUGUCCGGCCACAUUGGGACUGAGAUACGGCCCAGACUCCUACGGGAGGCAGCAGUGGGGAAUAUUGCACAAUGGGCGGAAGCCUGAUGCAGCAACGCCGCGUGCGGGAUGACGGCCUUCGGGUUGUAAACCGCUUUCGCUUGUGACGAAGCGUGAGUGACGGUAAUGGGUAAAGAAGCACCGGCUAACUACGUG